rnacentral:rRNA from 1 species
GAUGAACGCUGGCGGCGUGCCUAAUACAUGCAAGUCGAGCGAAUGGAUUAAGAGCUUGCUCUUAUGAAGUUAGCGGCGGACGGGUGAGUAACACGUGGGUAACCUGCCCAUAAGACUGGGAUAACUCCGGGAAACCGGGGCUAAUACCGGAUAACAUUUUGAACCGCAUGGUUCGAAAUUGAAAGGCGGCUUCGGCUGUCACUUAUGGAUGGACCCGCGUCGCAUUAGCUAGUUGGUGAGGUAACGGCGCACCAAGGCAACGAUGCGGAGCCGACAUGAAGUGGUGAUCGGCCACACUGGGACUGAGACACGGCCCAGACUCCUACGGGGGGCAGCAGUAGGGAAUCUUCCGCAAUGGACGAAAGUCUGACGGAGCAACGCCGCGUGAGUGAUGAAGGCUUUCGGGUCGUAAAACUCUGUUGUUAGGGAAGAACAAGUGCUAGUUGAAUAAGCUGGCACCUUGACGGUACCUAACCAGAAAGCCACGGCUAACUACGUGCCAGCCGCCGCUGUAA